rnacentral:rRNA from 1 species
GACGAACCGAGCGAACGUUAUUCGGAAUUACUGGGCUUAAAGGGCGCGUAGGCGGGCGGCCGAGUCCGGGGUGAAAGCCCCCAGCUCAACUGGGGAAGUGCCUCGGAUACUGGUCGCCUCGAGGGAGAUAGGGGCGUGCGGAACUUCCGGUGGAGCGGUGAAAUGCGUAGAUAUCGGAAGGAACACCGGUGGCGAAAGCGGCGCGCUGGAUCUCUUCUGACGCUGAGGCGCGAAAGCCAGGGGAGCGAACGGG